GUGCCAGCCGCCGCGGUAAUACCAGCCCCGCGAGUGGUUGGGACGUUUACUAGGCCUAAAGCGCCUGUAGCCGGCCCUGUAAGUCCCUCCCUAAAGGCCCGGGCUCAACCCGGGAACCGGGAGGGAUACUGCAGGGCUAGGGGGCGGGAGAGGCGGGGGGUACUCCCGGAGUAGGGGCGAAAUCCGUAGAUCCCGGGAGGACCACCAGUGGCGAAGGCGCCCCGCUAGAACGCGCCCGACGGUGAGAGGCGAAAGCCGGGGCAGCAAAAGGGAUUAGAUACCCCUGUAGUCCCGGCUGUAAACUAUGCGGGCCAGGUGUCGGGCGGGCGUUAGAGCCCGCCCGGUGCCGCAGGGAAGCCGUUAAGCCCGCCGCCUGGGGAGUACGGCCGCAAGGCUGAAACUUAAAGGAAUUGGCGGGGGGGCACACAAGGGGUGGAGCCUGCGGCUCAAUUGGAGUCAACGCCGGGAACCUCUACCGGGGGCGACAGCAGGAUGACGGCCAGGCUAACGACCUUGCCCGACGCGCUGAGGGGAGGUGCAUGGCCGUCGCCAGCUCGUGCUGUGAAGUGUCCUGUUAAGUCCGGCAACGAGCGAGACCCCCACCCCUAGUUGGUACCCUGGCCUCCGGGCCAGGGCCACACUAGGGGGACUGCCGCCGUAAGGCGGAGGAAGGAGGGGGCCACGGCAGGUCAGCAUGCCCCUAAACCCCCGGGCUGCACGCGGGCUACAAUGGCGGGGACAGCGGGAUCCGACCCCGAGAGGGGGAGGCAAUCCCUGAAACCCCGCCGUAGUUGGGAUCGGGGGCUGAAACUCGCCCCCGUGAACCUGGAAUCCCUAGUAACCGCGCGUCACUCAUCGCGCGGUGAAUACGUCCCUGCCCAUUGUACACACCGCCCGUC
rnacentral:rRNA from 1 species